AUUUCUGAUUUCCAGAAGUUAUAGGAGCAUCAAGAUGAAAUAAUUGUUUAACAUUAAUAACAUGACAAAAAAUCGCCCCAAUAAUGGUCUUAUCUUAUUGUAUUCAAUUAAGAACUUUUAUUUGAACAAUUAUUAUCUUAAGAAUUAUUAUUGGGGCAAUAGGAGGUUUAAAUCAAACAUCCUUACGACAACUUUUAGCAUAUUCAUCAAUCAGACAUCUAGGUUGAAUAAUUAGAUCAUUAACAGUCAGAGAAAACAUCUGAGAACUAUACUUCAUUAUUUACUCACUAUUAAGAUUAAUUAUAGUUUUAUUAUUUAAGCAAAUAAAUUUAUUUUUCAUAAAUCAAAUUUAUUCAGCCAGAAAUAUAAAAACCGAAAUUAAAUUCAUAAUAUUCUUAUCUUUAUUAUCUUUAGGUGGACUACCACCAUUCCUUGGAUUCUUACCAAAAUGAAUUGUAAUACAAUCAUUAAUAGAAAACAAUAUAACAACUAUUAUAACUAUUAUAGUUGUAUUAACUACAAUUACACUCUACUACUAUAUACGUAUUAGAUUCUCAGCUCUAAUUAUAUCAUACACAGAAAAUUCGUGAUCUAUAAAGAUAAAGUCCCAAAAAUCAAGAAUCAUUCUUCCUAUAACAGUAAUAAUUUCAACAAUAGGAUUGAUUUCAACAUCAACCUUAAUUUCAUUAUACUAA